rnacentral:rRNA from 1 species
AUGUGGACCUGUCUUCGUCAGCGCUAUGAGCCCUCUGGUGAUGCCUUAUACCUUUCUGUGGUUCGUCAGGAGCAUGCUCUUCAGCAGGGUGACUCUACUGUUGAUGACUUUUAUGCACAGAGUUCUGCUAUCUGGCGCCAGCUUGAUUCUCUCCGCAGUGCUGGUUGUCGUACUUGCCCCUGCUGCCAGGCUGUCCAGGCCAAUUUGGAGUUUCAUUGCGUCUACGAGUUCCUGUCUCGGCUCCGUAAGGAGUUUGAGCCCCGGCGUGCUCAGUUGUUUGCUCGUGGCCGUAUUUCUCUCAUGGAGGCGCUUUCGGAGAUUCGUGCUGAGGAGACUCGCUUACGUGGUGCUGGUUUGCUGGAGGUUCCCUCUGUGCUCGCUACUCGGGCUUCUUCCACUCCACCUGCUGCACCGACUCAUUCUCGCUCCAGUGCUCCGCCGCUUUUGCCCACUCCUUCUGGAGGCUCAGGUCGCCCCCGUCCACAUUGUGACUACUGCAACAAUGAUGGUCAUAUUGAGUCCCAGUGCUACACAAAGCGGAAACACCUGCGCAAGGCGCGAUCACCAUCCUCAGGGACUUCGUCA